rnacentral:rRNA from 1 species
CCGGCGAUGUCCGAAUGGGGAAACCCAGUGCAAUUCGUUGCACUAUCGUUAACUGAAUACAUAGGUUAACGAGGCGAACCGGGGGAACUGAAACAUCUAAGUACCCCGAGGAAAAGAAAUCAACCGAGAUUCCCCCAGUAGCGGCGAGCGAACGGGGAGCAGCCCAGAGUCUGAAUCAGCUUGUGUGUUAGUGGAACGGUCUGGAAAGUCCGACGGUACAGGGUGAUAGUCCCGUACACCAAAAUGCACAGGCUGUGAACUCGAAGAGUAGGGCGGGACACGUGGUAUCCUGUCUGAAUAUGGGGGGACCAUCCUCCAAGGCUAAAUACUCCUGACUGACCGAUAGUGAACCAGUACCGUGAGGGAAAGGCGAAAAGAACCCCGGCGAGGGGAGUGAAAAAGAACCUGAAACCGUGUACGUACAAGCAGUGGGAGCACCUUCGGGUGUGACUGCGUACCUUUUGUAUAAUGGGUCAGCGACUUAUAUUCUGUAGCAAGGUUAACCGUAUAGGGGAGCCGCAGGGAAACCGAGUCUUAACUGGGCGUUAAGUUGCAGGGUAUAGACCCGAAACCCGGUGAUCUAGCCAUGGGCAGGUUGAAGGUUGGGUAACACUAACUGGAGGACCGAACCGACUAAUGUUGAAAAAUUAGCGGAUGACUUGUGGCUGGGGGUGAAAGGCCAAUCAAACCGGGAGAUAGCUGGUUCUCCCCGAAAGCUAUUUAGGUAGCGCCUCGUGAAUUCAUCUUCGGGGGUAGAGCACUGUUUCGGCUAGGGGGUCAUCCCGACUUACCAACCCGAUGCAAACUACGAAUACCGAAGAAUGUUAUCACGGGAGACACACGGCGGGUGCUAACGUCCGUCGUGAAGAGGGAAACAACCCAGACCGCCAGCUAAGGUCCCAAAGUCAUGGUUAAGUGGGAAACGAUGUGGGAAGGCACAGACAGCCAGGAUGUUGGCUUAGAAGCAGCCAUCAUUUAAAGAAAGCGUAAUAGCUCACUGGUCGAGUCGGCCUGCGCGGAAGAUGUAACGGGGCUAAACCAUGCACCGAAGCUGCGGCAGCGACACUAUGUGUUGUUGGGUAGGGGAGCGUUCUGUAAGCCUGCGAAGGUGACCUGUGAGGGUUGCUGGAGGUAUCAGAAGUGCGAAUGCUGACAUAAGUAACGAUAAAGCGGGUGAAAAGCCCGCUCGCCGGAAGACCAAGGGUUCCUGUCCAACGUUAAUCGGGGCAGGGUGAGUCGACCCCUAAGGCGAGGCCGAAAGGCGUAGUCGAUGGGAAACAGGUUAAUAUUCCUGUACUUGGUGUUACUGCGAAGGGGGGACGGAGAAGGCUAUGUUAGCCGGGCGACGGUUGUCCCGGUUUAAGCAUGUAGGCUGGUUGUCCAGGCAAAUCCGGAUAAUCAAGGCUGAGGUGUGAUGACGAGGCACUACGGUGCUGAAGUAACAAAUGCCCUGCUUCCAGGAAAAGCCUCUAAGCAUCAGGUAACAUCAAAUCGUACCCCAAACCGACACAGGUGGUCAGGUAGAGAAUACCAAGGCGCUUGAGAGAACUCGGGUGAAGGAACUAGGCAAAAUGGUGCCGUAACUUCGGGAGAAGGCACGCUGGUGUGUAGGUGAAGUCCCUGCGGAUGGAGCUGAGACCAGUCGAAGAUACCAGCUGGCUGCAACUGUUUAUUAAAAACACAGCACUGUGCAAACACGAAAGUGGACGUAUACGGUGUGACGCCUGCCCGGUGCCGGAAGGUUAAUUGAUGGGGUUAUCCGUAAGGAGAAGCUCUUGAUCGAAGCCCCGGUAAACGGCGGCCGUAACUAUAACGGUCCUAAGGUAGCGAAAUUCCUUGUCGGGUAAGUUCCGACCUGCACGAAUGGCGUAAUGAUGGCCAGGCUGUCUCCACCCGAGACUCAGUGAAAUUGAACUCGCUGUGAAGAUGCAGUGUACCCGCGGCAAGACGGAAAGACCCCGUGAACCUUUACUAUAGCUUGACACUGAACAUUGAGCCUUGAUGUGUAGGAUAGGUGGGAGGCUUUGAAGCGUGGACGCCAGUCUGCGUGGAGCCAACCUUGAAAUACCACCCUUUAAUGUUUGAUGUUCUAACGUUGGCCCCUGACCGGGGUUGCGGACAGUGUCUGGUGGGUAGUUUGACUGGGGCGGUCUCCUCCCAAAGCGUAACGGAGGAGCACGAAGGUUAGCUAAUCCUGGUCGGACAUCAGGAGGUUAGUGCAAUGGCAUAAGCUAGCUUGACUGCGAGCGUGACGGCGCGAGCAGGUGCGAAAGCAGGUCAUAGUGAUCCGGUGGUUCUGAAUGGAAGGGCCAUCGCUCAACGGAUAAAAGGUACUCCGGGGAUAACAGGCUGAUACCGCCCAAGAGUUCAUAUCGACGGCGGUGUUUGGCACCUCGAUGUCGGCUCAUCACAUCCUGGGGCUGAAGUAGGUCCCAAGGGUAUGGCUGUUCGCCAUUUAAAGUGGUACGCGAGCUGGGUUUAGAACGUCGUGAGACAGUUCGGUCCCUAUCUGCCGUGGGCGCUGGAGAAUUGAGGGGGGCUGCUCCUAGUACGAGAGGACCGGAGUGGACGCAUCACUGGUGUUCGGGUUGUCAUGCCAAUGGCACUGCCCGGUAGCUAAAUGCGGAAGAGAUAAGUGCUGAAAGCAUCUAAGCACGAAACUUGCCCCGAGAUGAGUUCUCCCUGAGACUUUAAGUCUCCUGAAGGAACGUU